GACGAACGCUGGCGGCGUGCUUAACACAUGCAAGUCGAACGGUGAAGCGCCUUCCUUUUUGGUGGGUGUGGAUGAGUGGCGAACGGGUGAGUAACACGUGAGUAACCUGCCCCCUUCUUCUGGAUAACCGCAUGAAAGUGUGGCUAAUACGGGAUAUUCUGGGUCUGUCGCAUGAUGGGUCUGGGAAAGAUUUUGUUUCGGUGGGGGAUGGGCUCGCGGCCUAUCAGCUUGUUGGUGGGGUGAUGGCCUACCAAGGCGGUGACGGGUAGCCGGCCUGAGAGGGUGGACGGUCACACUGGGACUGAGACACGGCCCAGACUCCUACGGGAGGCAGCAGUGGGGAAUAUUGCACAGUGGGCGCAAGCCUGAUGCAGCGACGCCGCGGGAGGGAUGGAGGCCUUCGGGUUGUGAACCUCUUUCGCCAGUGAAGCAGGCCUGCCUCGUUUGUGGGUGGGUUGACGGUAGCUGGAUAAGAAGCGCCGGCUAACUACGUG
rnacentral:rRNA from 1 species